rnacentral:rRNA from 1 species
UACGUAGGGUGCGAGCGUUGUCCGGAUUUAUUGGGCGUAAAGAGCUCGUAGGCGGCUUAGUAAGUCGGGUGUGAAACCUCCAGCUCAACCUGGAGUCGCCACUCGAUACUGCUGUGACUAGAGUCCGGUAGGGGAGCGUGGAAUUCCUGGUGUAGCGGUGAAAUGCGCAGAUAUCAGGAGGAACACCGAUGGCGAAGGCAGGUCUCUGGGCCGAUACUGACGCUGAGGCGCGAAAGCGUGGGGAGCAAACAGG